UGAGUACUUGCCAGAUAUGCAGUUGCAUCCUUUGGUCCCGCUCCCAAUAUCAGUGUUGACACCCGGACUUCUAGAUACUCUUGAUCCCAUGCAUCACUUUUAACACAAUUAUGACCCAUAGUAGAUAUUCAUACCUAAUAUUAACAUGGCUAACAAGUAACUGUGGGCAUUUUUAUGGGCAGACACCGCUGGAGUCAAUCUCCAUAGAUGUAGCAGUUUUCUGUUUGUCUUUGAUGGGAACCAACUACCAUAACUAUUUGCUGGAAGCUAAACGAGUUCUAAAGCACAGGUUAGCCAUGCAAUUUUGUUCUUAAUUCAGCGUUCAUGUUCUUUUCUAAAUGUAUUUUAAUAGAUUAGCUACUCAUACCAUGGUGCAGUGGCUGGCUUCUAAUAGCUGAAGUGCGGAGUAGGUUUGAUCCUAACAAUGGUGGAGCUAAUCCUGAUGAGUUUUGCGAAGCCAUUGAACAACUUGGUUUGUCUUUGCUUUCAAAGGAUUUUUCUAAUAAGAUGUUUGUUAUGUUCUACUUCAAGAAAACGG